AUCAUCAUGGAACCCAUCAAACUCAAAUUCAGUAUACUAAAUCAGCAGGCCCAGAAACUCAAUCACCCAUGAGAACUCAAGCAAGUCGUAAACCAGUAGAAACCAUUUUGGGCAAGGCAUUUGAAGAUGUUAAGGCACACUAUACACUAGGUAAAGAAUUGGGUAGAGGUCAAUUUGGGGUUACAUUUCUUUGUACUGAAAUAUCAAGUGGUCAUCAAUAUGCUUGUAAGUCAAUAUCAAAGAAGAAACUUGUUACUAAAUCUGAUAAAGCUGAUAUGAGAAGAG
rnacentral:misc_RNA from 1 species